rnacentral:rRNA from 1 species
AGAACGAACGCUGGCGGCAGGCUUAACACAUGCAAGUCGAGCGCCCAGCAAUGGGAGCGGCGGACGGGUGCGUAACACGUGGGAACAUGCCUUUCGGUACGGAACAACUGCGGGAAACUGCAGCUAAUGCCGUAUACGCCCUUACGGGGAAAGAUUUAUCGCCGAAAGAUUGGCCCGCGUCUGAUUAGCUAGUUGGUGAGGUAACGGCUCACCAAGGCUUCGAUCAGUAGCUGGUUUGAGAGAACGACCAGCCACACUGGGACUGAGACACGGCCCAGACUCCUACGGGAGGCAGCAGUGGGGAAUCUGGACAAUGGGCGAAAGCCUGAUCCAGCCAUGCCGCGUGAGUGAUGAAGGCCUUCGGGUUGUAAAGCUCUUUUGGUAGGGACGAUAAUGACGGUACCUAUCGAAUAAGCACCGCUAACUCUGCGCCAGCAGCCGC